rnacentral:rRNA from 1 species
GACGAACGCUGGCGGCGUGCUUAACACAUGCAAGUCGAACGAAGUGGCGAACGGGUGAUUAACGCGUAAUCAACCUGCCCUUCUGAGGGGGACAACAGGUGGAAACGACUGCUAAUACAGCAUACUGAAGGAGGGUAUUGCUUCUGAUUAGCUAUGUGGAGGGGUAACGGCCCACCAAGGCGAUGAUCAGUAGCCGGUCUGAGGGGAUGAACGGCCACAUCGGGACUGGGACACGGCCCAGACUCCUACGGGAGGCAGCAGGGGGGAAUCUUCCGCAAUGGAAGAAAGUCUGACGGAGCAACGCCGCGUGAGUGAUGACGGCCUUCGGGUUGUAAAGCUCUGUUAAUCGGGACGCGGUACCGGAAUAGAAAGCCACGGCUAACUACGUGCCAGCCGCCGCGGUAAUAC